rnacentral:tRNA from 1 species
GGGGCGGUGACGCAGUUGGCUAGCGCGUAGGUCUCAUAAUCCUGAGGUCGAGAGUUCGAGCCUCUCUCGCCCCA